rnacentral:rRNA from 1 species
GAUGAGCAUUUCAGAAACCGGGGAUUGAUGGCCUAACGACUCUUCGGGGUCCGCUGGCCGUUAAAAACCGGCUUAAUUGCAAUGGUUUGAACCGGGCAAAAGUCGUAACACGGUAGCUGUAGGUGAACCUGCUGCUGGAUCAUUA